rnacentral:lncRNA from 1 species
AGUUGAUCCCCAGCAGUGGAAUGAUUGGGUAAAUAAUAUUCUUAAGACCUUUGACAUAUAUUUCCAAUUUGCUUUAUUUUUUUAUUUUUUAUUUUUUUUAUUUAAAAAAAUUUUUUUAACGUUUAUUUAUUUUUGAGACAGAGAGAGACAGAGCAUGAACGGGGGAGGGUCAGAGAGAGGGAGACACAGAAUCUGAAACAGGCUCCAGGCUCUGAGUUGUCGGCACAGAGCCCGACGCGGGGCUCGAACACACGGACUUCGAGAUCAUGACCUGAGCUGAAGUCAGACGCUUAACCGACCGAGCCACCCAGGCGCCCCCCAAUUUGCUUUUUAAAAAUGUUACCAGAAAUUGGGAUGCCCUGGGUAGCUCAGUUGGUUACGCGUCUGACUCUUGGUUUGGCUUAGGUCAUGAUCUCACAGUUUGUGAGAUCGAGCCCUGUGUCAGGUUCUGUGCUGACAGCAUGGAGCCUGCUUGGGAUUCUCUCUCUCCCUCUCUCUCUCUGCCCUUCCCCUACUCGUGUGUAUGCACAUGUGUGUGUGCACGUGUGUGUGUGUGCGUGCUCUCUGUCUCUUAAAAUAAAUAAACAUAUUUUUAAAUGUCACCAGAAAUUAAUGGAGAUUUCUACCUACAACAUUUUUGUUACCACUUUUAAUCUUUGCCGUUUUUAGGAUUAACCAUAUUCCGUUGCUAAGUUUGAUUUUCUUAAAUUACAAAUGAGAGUGAACAUACGUGUAUCUUUAUUAGCAACUUGCAUUAUCUGUUUGCUGAAUGUUUGUUCAUGUCCCUUCCUAUUUAGGGAGGACUUUACAUCAUGCUGAGUUUUGAAAGAAUAACUACAAUUCUUCAGCUACUGGAAGAGAGUGAGUGUGGAGGCGGCUCAGCACGCCAAAACUCAGGCCACUGCAUUCCUGUUAUUUCUGGAGGCCAAACCACCUGCUGCGUUCUGCAGGGGCUCGCUCAGUCUGUGGCUUCGGAGUCCAGCUCCAGCACCUUUACAAGCUCGUCUUCGUGUGUUCGGACUACUAUUACAAAAUGCUACAGACUGGGCAGCCUCUUGUCCUGUAAGUGCCCGACAUUAAAUCCCUGAUUGCUGAGGCAUCCAUUUCAAAGACAUGAAUCUGGAACAAACAUUGCCAGCCAUAUGACACAGCUACCGAUAAAACCCCUAGAUAGGAAGCUAGGCCGCCCCCACCUACAGAGUUUCCUUUGUAGGAAGCCAGGUGUAGGCUGGAUAACUGAGUGACCCUGCUUCUCCCCUCUGGUGUCCUAAUUCUCACCCUUGUGUUUUAAAUUUGCCAAUAAAAAAUGAGCCCACGAAACCCUAGGCA